ensembl:lncRNA
CUCUCCAAGGACCUUCAACUGUCAUUCUGGUAACGGGCUCCCUGACUCCCUGAGUAGCUGCAGAUUUACCUCAUUAACAAGUUGAAGGUCCACAUAAAGGUCACCCAGAGGUUGUCAAGCCUUGGAGGUGAGAAUACUCUGGAAGCCCUGACUGUGGUCUGUCCUCUUCUCUCCCUGUGGUGUCCAUCAUCAAAUACGACCUCUGAUCUGUCCACUGAGGCAUUAAUGCCUUCCAUGUCAUUAGCCCCAUAAUCCCUGCACUCAUUAGUGUAUUAAUCAAGGCUAUGAACAUCUGCGAGCACUGGAGAUCUGUUUUAACACAUAGUGCACUUGAACGAAUGACACUUUCCCUUAUUCAAUGACAACGGCCUCCCUCAAGCGGCCCGAAGACUAACCAUGGCUUCUUUUACCCCUUGAGCCAGCGCAACACAAAUUAAC